ACGUGAUCCUACCUGCAACAAGGAAGUGAUCUCGACCGCCCAUAAUGCCCCAUUCGGGCCUUUUCUCGAGCCAGUUGACCAAAUCAAGUGAAGCUCUAUCUCUAGUAGAUAUAUUAUAUCCCCAAAGGUAUCUCGCAAUAUCAAACCCGGCAUAAAACGGCACAAAAAAAGCAGCAGCAAUGGAAGAAUCCUUAGUCAAACAAUCAUAUUGCUUCAUUCGAUUACUGAAAAUCACAUCGACCGCAAACUGAUUCGUUGCAUACCACCCUGUAUCUGAAAACACUCCUUCCACAUUUUCAAGUGGUGGACCAAGCCCAGCAUUAGUUG
rnacentral:misc_RNA from 1 species